rnacentral:rRNA from 1 species
GACGAACGCUGGCGGCGUGCUUAACACAUGCAAGUCGAACGGAAAGGCCCUGCUUUUGUGGGGUGCUCGAGUGGCGAACGGGUGAGUAACACGUGAGUAACCUGCCCUUGACUUUGGGAUAACUUCAGGAAACUGGGGCUAAUACCGGAUAGGAGCUCCUGCUGCAUGGUGGGGGUUGGAAAGUUUCGGCGGUUGGGGAUGGACUCGCGGCUUAUCAGCUUGUUGGUGGGGUAGUGGCUUACCAAGGCUUUGACGGGUAGCCGGCCUGAGAGGGUGACCGGCCACAUUGGGACUAAGGUACGGCCCAGACUCCUACGGGAGGCAGCAGUGGGGAAUAUUGCACAAUGGGCGGAAGCCUGAUGCAGCAACGCCGCGUGCGGGAUGACGGCCUUCGGGUUGUAAACCGCUUUCGCCUGUGACGAAGCGUGAGUGGCGGUAAUGGGUAAAGAAGCACCGGCUAACUACGUG